UGGAAGAUGCCCCCUCGGGAUGAGCCGAGUUGAGCUGCCAUCUGGAACUCGGAGUUAGCCAGGAUGGGCUGGGUGCAAAUGCCCUCUCCCUUCCCUGCCACUGUUGGGUCCUGGGUCAUCCUGUGCUGAGUGCCUUCAGUGGACAGAGAAUACAAUCCAGGGACUCCUACAGGGCUCAGGCCACACCCUCAGUUUCCUGAGCUCCAGCUCUGAGCAUCCUGCUUGGGACUUUGGGGGCUGUAGACACAGAGCUGGGGUGUGGCAGGGCCAGGUGACACUCCCCCUGCUCCCCAGGAGCUCUUCAGGAAGGUGGUGCCCUCUCAGUGCCUGGGCUCCUCCUGAGGCAAGAGGAUCAAGCUCGGGAAUGAGCACCUGGCACCCACCGUCCGGGCCACCACUGACCACUUCCAGAGGGUAGUCAACUUCAUCACAAUCACCUGCCUAGGGGACCCAAGCAGGACAGCCUCGGACAGGGCCAGGGUGGUGGAACACUGGAUCCAGGUGGCACAGGGAGAGUCUGAAAACUUUAAGGAGCUGUAUACAAAAGACAAAUCCUUGAGCAGACAACUGAUGACCAAAGUAGAGUGGAGGCUGGAGUCUGGAAAGAGAGAAGGGUGAGGUGGGAAGGGGGACGGGGCAGGGUGUGGCUUUGAUAGUUUCUCACUUAAACUUCCUCUGAAAAUUCCAGUCUGUCUUGUCCAGAUUAGCAAGAGGAGGGAUCUCUUUGGUCCACAGGCAGGUGGGCUGAAGUUUGUGGGCAGGGGGCCCUGGUCAUGGGACAUGGUGGUGCUGGCUGGGCUGGCACACAAUCAACACAUCUCUGGCUUCUGUGCAGGUCCCACCUGCUGGACUUAGCUUCUUCCUAAGUGGUUGGGGUGGGUUUAGCCCUCAGCCUAAGCCAGGCCCCCGCCGCUUCUGCUGCCUUCACCAUGCCUCCAAGGGGGGCAGCCCGCCCGCCCCAGGGAUGGGCACAGCAGGGAUUCCCACGGGCCAGGUGGACAAACAGGCUGCUCAGCCUUGGGUCCAAAUGGCUGGACCAGAGACAGAUCCGGGUGUAUUCUGGAACUCGCCACUGGGCCCCUCGAGCAGUCACAGCCAGUCAGUCACAGGAGUCCCACCUGAGUGCCCAGCUGGCAAGGACACAUGUCCCAGGUGGCUGAGGAGAAGUGUCUGGGGACCUGAUGGAUUCUGGAUUCUUAGUGGAUCCUUCCUGAACAGACAUCAGAAGCUUCAUGUAAAUGAGGGAGCAAAGUGUCCUGUCACCCCCUUCCCUGUUGAUCAGAGGUGGCACCUUGGGGUCCACAUCCUGAGUGGAUGAAGAAAGAGUUCUGUUCCAGGGAAUGUCCUGAGGGGCUCCUUAGGAAGUGCAGGCUUUGGCGUGGCCUCCGUUCCAGCCUGGGGGCCAGACUCUCCAGGGCCUGGGCCAGGCAGGAGCCACUCACCCAGGCUCCCAGGACACCCCGCCCUCUCCAUCCACGUCUCGGCCGAGGACACACCUGAGAACUGAGGGCACAGGGCUCCGGUCAGGGGUGGGAUGGGGGUUAGGUGAGCACAUGGGAACAGGGCCUCUGGCUGGGAGGGGCAAGUGGCCUCUCCUCUGUGGCCCUGAGCAGCUCGCUGCCCCUGUUGGGCCUCUGUCUCCUCAUCGGGGAGAUGCAGGGAUGAUGGUCCUGUGGCACAGGCCUCAAGGGGGGUGAUGGGCUAAAAGCGGGGAGAGGAGCAUGCGGAGCUUUCUGCCCUGCUCCCCCUGGAGGGGUGAGGGGAGGGCAGUGAUGACGGUCAUGGCACGAGUCCUCAGAGACCCUGUGAGGGAGGGGAGGACUCACCCUUUCCAGACGAGGAAACAGGCUCAGGGAGGCCAGACCAGGCCACACUUAGAGUGACAGUUGGAGCUGGGCUUGUUCUAGAAUCCUAGCACACUGGAGGUUGGAGUAGCCUUGGUGCCAGCUGGUUGGGGUCAGAUGUCCAGGGUCAAAGGCCGGUGGUGCUGGGGAGAAGUUGGGGGAGGGGAGCAUGGCCUCACUGACUUGUCCUCCAUCCUGGCAGGAGGGGCCCUCCACGUUUGCCACCCUGCAGUACACCCCCAGAGAGUCCAGAGCAUCAGAUGUCACAGGGCGUUGUCCCCUUCUUGGCCUUUCCUUGGUGAUCUGGUGAUGCUGCAUCUGGUGAUGGGUGACUAUCAGGAGGCUGGUGAGGCAGCAAAGCCACCUGAGGGAGGGCACAGCUGUGAGAGGUUUAUGAGCUGGACUCAGCCUCUCCCUCCUGCGGGGCCCACAGUGGGACAGAGAAGUUGGGCCCCUCCAGUCAGGCAGCAGGGGAAGGAGAUCAACCUCGAGAAAAGGACUGAGGACUACAGAGCCAUGAGGGAGAGCCUGCUGCUCCGGAUGGCUGCAAACAAUUACAGGCUAGAGCCCGAGGAGUGAUUUGGGGCCUGGUUCCGGCACAUGGAGCUGCUCAGUGGAAAUGAGAGCUGAGGCCAGCUGGAGUCAGGGGAGGGCAGAGGUCGACUUUCCCUGGUGACCAGUCCAGAGAGCCCAUGUUCAUGGCCCCUGGUCAGCCCCAGGCCUUGUUGCAUGGUAAUCUCUGGGACACCCAGACUCCAGCUACUGGCAGGCAGUGGGGGGACACCUGAGGUGUGGCUCUUGGUCAACUCUCAGUGCCUCUCUGUCCUGUAGCUGCAGCCUGUCCUGCUAGCUGGAGCCCCUAGUCUGGUUGGCCAGCAGAAUACUCAAGGCCGAGAAGAAGGGGUCAUCAUCAAGUUCAGGCACGAGUGUCUAGACUGGUGGUGACUAAAUCCUAGGGGUUUAGUGAAGCUUCAGGCUGAGUGUGGUCUUGGGGAGUCAGACAGCUGGCGCUGGGAGCCCAGCCCCACCACUGACCAGUCCUGUGACUGGGGAGAUUCCCUUCAGCUUCCUGAGACUCAGUUUACUCCUCCGUGAAAUAGGUGAUGGCAAAUGAUCACUCAUGUGGCAGGGACAAACGGGGUACUAUUGGCUGACUGAGCACAGGGCCUGGAGCACAGAGUGCAGUGGGGCUGGGGAGGGGGGCCGUGAUUCUGGGAGAGGCACCUCAAGAUAACCUGACUCUUCUAUUCAGCCACCAGAACCCCAACACUGAGCCCUGUACCACUGGCAGAUCACAGCCCCAUCCUCAGCAGUGGGGACUUGGCUGGGAUGCUUGGCAUGCACUGGGCCAGCUCCUCCUGCCUGAUGGGAAGGGGAGCAUUGUAAGCUGAUUCCUGAUUCCUAGGGUCCCCUGAGACCCGGGAGAGAGGGGACAACCCUGCCCCAUCUGCCUGACAUCUCUACCCCGGCACCUAUUUACCUAUUGAGGAGGGACAAGAUUCAUGAUUGUAAAUAGUAAAUGUUAGAUAUGAAUAUUAUAACAAAAUCUUGUCUCUUUCACAGCCUGGGCGUGGUGGUGUGGUUCUUUCACUUUCUGUGCUCAUGUAAAUCAAACACAGAAUCUCACAUUCCCCCUUGAAUUCAGAAACCUUGCAGAGUCAUCAGCUUAUUGUAUGUGGGAGAAGGGAGAAGGGAGAAGGGAGAAGGGCCAGCCCCUCCUUGGCUAGUGAGGACACUCCCAAGUCCCCCUCACUCAGAGGACAAGUUCAUCUGAGUAUCAUUCACCUGUCCAGGAGCAGAGACAGCCCCCCAGAUCUCCCGGACUUUAGAGGCAGAGCAACAGCCACUGAAAUUGGGGUGUCUUUAAAAAUAGCCUGAGCUGGGACCACCUUGUGCCCCAGAACACUAGCUGCCUUUCUACCCUCUGGAGGAAGAGGAAGCAUCUUUUGCUUGUCCUGUUGAGGUUUCUUUUGACCAGAUAUUAGGAAAGUAGUUUCCUAGUUCAAUUGCUGGAAUUGCAUCAGCUCUAAGUGGGGAAAAUACUGUAAAAAGCUCAAAUGUGCAUGGAGAGGAUGAGGCCAGAGGAAGGUCCUGUGCAGAUGGACUAAGGGCAGGCAGAACUCUCCCUUCUCGGGCCCCUCUAGGGGUUCCCUAUUCACCCUUGACCUAGACUUGAUCCUCCUGGGAUUCUGGUCCAUGACUCUGAAUUCCUUUUCCUGCUUGUUUUCUUUCCAAGGGGAAACAUUUACGAUGCAGCUUUUAGGGCCCCAGCCGUGUCUUCCUCCAUAAACCUGGUGCUCCCUUGAACUGGGAUUUUCAGCAUCCCUGCAUUUCUCAAACAAUUCUUUCUUAGGGCAGAAAUUCCCUAGAUGCCCCCAGCCUUUCUGUCAUAUACAUCGUGGCCACUCCUCCCAGGCUGGGCCUGAUGGAUCCCAGGUGAGCUCUGGUUUGCCAGGAUAACAGACCAUAAUCCCAACCAGAAAUGACCCCACAGUCUCCCUUGCUGCCCAAGUUGGCUUCUGGGCCCAUGUUGUUCUGAGGUCCAUAGUCAUGGACGGUCGACCAGUUUACACACUCAGUGGCGGUCGUACCACUUUAUGUUAAAGGGGCCGCUAGGCCUGAGCCCAUAAAGCAUGUAGCCCUUGGGGUGGCUGUGUUCUUUUCCCAAGUCUCAUGCUACAGUUACAUUAUGGGGGUGUGAGCCUUUCCUGUUGGGAUCUUUGAAAGAUGAGGCAUGAAAGGGAUGUGAGUAGAGUCCAGCAGGGAAUGCCACCAAACCGAUGAUCCGUGGAUGUGUAUGGACACAGCCUUAUCAAGUAAAAUACUGAAAAGCUUCCCAUCUGGGUGAUCAACAGAUAGUACUCUGCGGUCACCCUAAGACCCACCACCCCCCCAUGACCAGGAGCUACAAACACCCCUCAUGACUGGCAUUUUGAACCUCAUCCCUUGGAAACACCCUGAAAGACAAGGGCCAGAUGAUUUGCUUGGCACUUCUGAGUUAUCCUCUCCUUCCUGAUGGCCGCAAGUGUCACUCAGACACACGGAAGGCUGGGCCCUGCCAGGGAGGCCUUCUCAGGACAGCUAGAAGCUGAGGAUAAAUCCUGGUUCCCAGCAGCCGAGGCUCUUUCUGACAUGGAACUGCCAACCAGGAAAGUGAUUUGCUAAAGGAAAGACUAGGAAGGCUGUGCUUUCCCUCCAAAGAGAAAGAGGAGUGCCAGGUCCCAGGGCUGGCCCAGGGCUGGGAGGGAGGCAUUAGUGUCUGAAGGGUUUCUCCUGCAGGACUGUGAGGCUCCUGAGAGGCAGCCCUGUAUGAGUGACAUAUAAGCCCUGUGCCUUCCAUAUGGCAGAGGAGGUACAAUUCAUUGUCUCUGGUCAUCCACUGGCCAAAAGUGCAGACAGUCAUACAGAGGAGUCACCCAUAUUUGCAGUGAGGAUCACCUAUCAAUCUUUUUUUACAUUCUCAGGUCCAAAAUUUGUUUGUUUGUUUUUUUUUUUUGCAUUUUUAUGUUUCUGUUUUUGAACUUCUCAUUUUGUUCUUGUCCCGUUUUCUUCAUUUCCUUACAUUGUUCAGCUCUUGGAGCUGCUUUCAAAUGGUUAUUGUGAUCUCUUCUUCUAUAGUACAUCAAGGAUGUUCCAUUUCAUCCUGUGAUCUCCACAUUUUGGUCCAUGUUAGAGCCAGUUAACUGAUCAGACCGUUAGCACUCUUUGUACCCCUCAAAACACACCAUUGAAUAAAGAACCUCUGGUGAGUGGGACCAAAUCAAUUCAUUCCACCAAAUCAACUGCGUGUUCCUUCCUCCAUUAUCCCAACCCCCUAAUAGCCCGCUUCUUCACAGUUGUCCAUAGGUUUCCAUCUAUGCGACCUUGGAAGAGGAUGCAGCAAUUUGGCAGUGCAGCACAAUUCCUCAUGAGCCCCCUUUUGUACCUCAUGCUUUGGACCUGCUGGGUGCUGAGAGUGGAGUCUAUCUUGAUCAAGUCUUGGUCUUGAAGCCAAGAAGGCUGGUAAAGAAGCUGAGGCUUGGAGAAGCUGAGUAGUUCUGCUGCCAUCUUGGCUACUUCCCCUGCUGUGGGGCGGAGAAAUUGUCCUGAACAUGUCCUCCAGCUGCAUAAGAAGGC
rnacentral:lncRNA from 1 species